rnacentral:tRNA from 1 species
GCCCAUGUAGCUCAGGCGGUAGAGCACUUCCUUGGUAAGGAAGAGGUCACCGGUUCAAGUCCGGUCGUGGGCU